GAGACCAGGAUUGAGGAGAGGAAGUAGCCUGUCCUCUGACAGGAAGUUAGGGGAGAUAGUUGCUCUGGGAUCUCUAGAGAGUGGAGGUCUGUCUCAGAUGAGGAUAAUGAGUUUUAUAGCUGUCAAGCAACCUGUCCAGGUUCAUUUCAUACAGGUGUGAAAUUAGAGGAAACAUUAGCAUGAGUUCUCUUCUGAAAUGAUAAAGUAAAGCAGAGAAAUGAGGAACAGAAGGAUGACAGCUUCAAGGCAAGAAGUACGGACUAGGAAAGAGCCAGAAGACAAAAUACUGAUAGAGCAGAAAGUGAAAAAAAGAAUUAAAUAUGAAGACUCUUCAGAGAGACUCGCUAAAAAUCAAAUACAAUGCACCUCUGUCUCCUGGACUGACUUCAUUUCUAUUCCUCUCCCUAUCAAGAUGUUUUUAAAAAUUACAUUCUGUUAAGAAAAAAAUCUAUUUAGUACAUUCUCUUUCUCAUACUUACCCUUACCCAAAUGAGAAAUUAAAAAUUCUGUUACAUGUAUAUUCAAGGAAAACAAAUUACCACAAUGACCAUGUUCAGUGGAAUUUUUUCUUUAAUUUCACAUCCACCCUACCCCUCUUACUUUCUUCAUUUCAGGAAACCUUAGAGAUCCUUGUCUUGGAAUUCUUUUUGAUUAAUUAUAGAAAAAUGUACCCUACCUCCCCUUUUGCUUCUCUCUACUGCCCCCAUGUUCUGAACAUGGAUCUAUCCUUUAUUUACUACACUGCUUUGUUUCUUCAUAUAUCAGUGAUUGAUCUUCAUGUAUUCAGUUAAAAGAAAAUUACAAAUAGUGUUCCUUACUUAUCCUUUCAUAUAUUUGUUUUUUUCCAUAUUACUUACCCAUUUUAAAUAUCAGAAGCUCUGAAAAAUAUGUAUUAAUGAUUCUGAUACUUUGUACCUCAAAAUAUAAUUAAUAAAUAUUUUUAAAUUGGCAAAGAGAUUUUAGUUCUUUUCUCCAGAAUAUCUAGCCAUGGUGAUAUUGUUACCUAGGAAACUUUUUCCUGUACAUACAGAGUGUUGUCUGUGCUUGCCUCUUCCUUCUUUCUUUAUCCCUUCUAAGGUUCUCAAAUACUUUGUUAUUUAAAAAAAAACCUUAUUGAUGCUCUUUGUAUUUAUAUCACAGUCAUUUUUGGGGGAAAAAUCCCUUCCCCCAACUCAAAUAGAACAUUUAUUUAUGUAUAUUUAAGAAAAAAACCUAAGCAAUACAGAAUAACAAUGCAGAAAAUAUUCCAUCUUAGGAACCCUCUGCCUCUUUGCCAUGAGGAA